GAUGGUGUGCAAAAUCACAGAGAGAGGGUGAGAAGUUAGGAAGAAAAUGUUUCUUUCAUUCCUCACCAAAAUCCUAGUACAAUCUAUGUAUAUAUAUAUAUAGUCAAUAUGGUUUGAUCCAAAAAAACUUCCUUAGCUAAUCCAAUCUGAAUGCACUCACCCAAGUCCAAACCUGGAUUAGCUCCCAUAAGACCUACAAAUCAGGGUCUCAUGACUGUGGAGGGAUGAACCUCCACUUUAGGACCAAAUCAGUCAUAGUCCUA
rnacentral:lncRNA from 1 species